rnacentral:rRNA from 1 species
CGGACGGGUGAGUAACGCGUGAGAAUCUGCCCUCAGGAGGGGGAUAACGGCUGGAAACGGCCGCUAAUACCCCAUAUGCCGCGAGGUGAAAUGAAUUUCGCCUGAGGAUGAGCUCGCGUCUGAUUAGCUAGUUGGUGGGGUAAGAGCCUACCAAGGCAUCGAUCAGUAGCUGGUCUGAGAGGAUGAUCAGCCACACUGGGACUGAGACACGGCCCAGACUCCUACGGGAGGCAGCAGUGGGGAAUUUUCCGCAAUGGGCGAAAGCCUGACGGAGCAACGCCGCGUGAGGGAUGAAGGCCUCUGGGCUGUAAACCUCUUUUAUCAAGGAAGAAGAUCUGACGGUACUUGAUGAAUAAGCCACGGCUAAUUCCGUGCCAGCAGCCGCGGUAAUACGGGAGUGGCAAGCGUUAUCCGGAAUUAUUGGGCGUAAAGCGUCCGCAGGCGGUCUUGUAAGUCUGUCGUUAAAGCGUGGAGCUUAACUCCAUUUCAGCGAUGGAAACUGCAAGACUAGAGUGUGGUAGGGGCAGAGGGAAUUCCCGGUGUAGCGGUGAAGUGCGUAGAUAUCGGGAAGAACACCAGUGGCGAAGGCGCUCUGCUGGGCCAUAACUGACGCUCAUGGACGAAAGCCAGGGGAGCGAAAGGGAUUAGAUACCCCUGUAGUC